CCUACGGGGGGCAGCAGUGGGGAAUAUUGGACAAUGGGGGGAACCCUGACCCAGCCAUGCCGCGUGUGUGAAGAAGGCCCUCGGGUUGUAAAGCACUUUCAGUGAGGAAGAACGCCUGGUGGUUAAUACCCAUCAGGAAAGACAUCACUCACAGAAGAAGCACCGGCUAACUCCGUGCCAGCAGCCGCGGUAAUACGGAGGGUGCGAGCGUUAAUCGGAAUUACUGGGCGUAAAGCGCGCGUAGGUGGCUUGAUAAGCCGGUUGUGAAAGCCCCGGGCUCAACCUGGGAACGGCAUCCGGAACUGUCAAGCUAGAGUGCAGGAGAGGAAGGUAGAAUUCCCGGUGUAGCGGUGAAAUGCGUAGAGAUCGGGAGGAAUACCAGUGGCGAAGGCGGCCUUCUGGACUGACACUGACACUGAGGUGCGAAAGCGUGGGUAGCAAACAGGAUUAGAUACCCUAGUAGUC
rnacentral:rRNA from 1 species